rnacentral:lncRNA from 1 species
CCAAACACAAAUCCAAAUACCCAAACCCACAAUAAAGGAACUUACCUUCGUCCAGCGAUGCUCGAAUCCGGAACUUGCCAUUUCAGAGCAGUGGAGAGCAAUGGAGACGACGAGACUGUGGAGAAGAGUAGUCCGUGAGCGUUAAUGGAGAAGACGAUAAAUGUGAGAGAGAAACCAAUUCUGAGAGAGAAACCAAUUCUGAGAUAGAACCAAUCCUUCACAUUCAAACUCAAAAUGCCC